AACGAACGCUGGCGGCAGGCUUAACACAUGCAAGUCGAACGCAUCCUUCGGGGUGAGUGGCAGACGGGUGAGUAACGCGUGGGAACGUGCCCUUCAGUUCGGGAUAACCCAGGGAAACUUGGGCUAAUACCGGAUACGUGCGAGAGCAGAAAGAUUUAUCGCUGAAGGAUCGGCCCGCGUCUGAUUAGCUAGUUGGUGGGGUAAUGGCCCACCAAGGCGACGAUCAGUAGCUGGUCUGAGAGGAUGAUCAGCCACAUUGGGACUGAGACACGGCCCAAACUCCUACGGGAGGCAGCAGUGGGGAAUAUUGGACAAUGGUCGCAAGCCUGGUCCAGCCAUGCCGCGUGAGUGAUGAAGGCCUUAGGGUUGUAAAGCUCUUUCGUCCGGGACGAUAAUGACGGUACCGGAAGAAGAAGCCCCGGCUAACUUCGUGCCAGCCGCCGCAGUAA
rnacentral:rRNA from 1 species